GGGACAGGGAAGAAGGAAGUCCUGCAGCCGGGCUGGUUUCGGUGCUUUAAGCAACAGUGAUGUUUUUUCUGCUUUUCUGAAGGAUGUUUGUCCUGCCUGUAGCUGUUCAAAGUCCUAACAUUGUUAUUGCUAAGAAAGGCAUUUGACACAGCUCCAGAGCAGUCACAGCCAACACCUCCAUGGCCCUUUGGGCAAGUGGUUUAAACAAGUUCUAUCCCAGGACCAUUGGCUCUGGAAGAGAAGAUACUGCCAGCUAUGAGCACAGUAAUGAGGUAAUGGAAGAAAAGACAUCAAGAGAUACAAAAACAGCUGUGCAGCCUGAAUGUUCCAAUAAAUGGGAUGGGAUGGAAAAGCCUAGAGCAGAAAACUUUGCACUCCAUUAACUGGCCAGUUUGAG